rnacentral:tRNA from 3 species
GGCGAUUUAGCCAAGCGGUCCAAGGCGCUAGGUUCAGGUCCUAGUCUCGAUUUUCGGGGCGUGGGUUCGAAUCCCACAGUCGUCA